rnacentral:rRNA from 1 species
AUUGCACGCUGGCGGCAGGCCUAACACAUGCAAGUCGAACGAGUGGCGGACGGGUGAGUAAUGUCUGGGAAACUGCCCGAUGGAGGGGGAUAACUACUGGAAACGGUAGCUAAUACCGCAUACCAUCAGAUGUGCCCAGAUGGGAUUAGCUGGGAGGUGGGGUAACGGCUCACCUAGGCGACGAUCCCUAGCUGGUCUGAGAGGAUGACCAGCUAAACUGGAACGGAGACACGGUCCAGACUCCUACGGGAGGCAGCAGUGGGGAAUAGUGCACAAUGGGCUCAAGCCUGAUGCAGCCAUGCCGCGUGUAUGAAGAAGGCCUUCGGGUUGUAAAGUACUUUCAGCGGGGAGGCGUUACCCGCAGAAGAAGCACCGGCUAACUCCGUGCCAGCCGCCGCGGUAAUAC